GACGAACGCUGGCGGCGUGCCUAAUACAUGCAAGUAGGACGCAGUUGCGAACGGGUGAGUAACGCGUAGGUAACUACCUAUUAGAGGGGGAUAACUAUUGGAAACGAUAGCUAAUACCGCAUACUAGUAGAUGGACCUGCGUUGUAUUGGCUAGUAGGUAGGGUAAUGGCCUACCUAGGAAACGAUACAUAGCCGACCUGGGAGGGGGAUCGGCCACACGGGGACUGAGAGACGGCCCAGACUCCUACGGGAGCCAGCAGGAGGGAGUCUUCGGCAAUGGGGGUGACCCUGACCAAGCAACGCGGCGUGAGUGAAGAAGGUUUUGGGAUCGUAAAGCACUGUUGUUAAGGAGGCGGUACUUAACCAGAAAGGGACGGCUAACUACGUGCCAGCAGCCGCGGUAAUAC
rnacentral:rRNA from 1 species